UACGUAGGGGGCGAGCGUUGUCCGGAAUCAUUGGGCGUAAAGAGCGUGUAGGUGGCCCGGUAAGUCCGCCGUGAAAGUCCAGGGCUCAACCCUGGAAAGCCGGUGGAUACUGUCGGGCUGGAGUCCGGAAGAGGCGAGUGGAAUUCCUGGUGUAGCGGUGAAAUGCGCAGAUAUCAGGAGGAACACCAAUGGCGAAGGCAGCUCGCUGGG
rnacentral:rRNA from 1 species